CAGAGGAUAAUUUAAUGUUAAAAUACUAGCUUUGGGGGCCAGUUACAGGGAUUUAAGUUCCCUUCCUUUGA
rnacentral:tRNA from 1 species